UGAAAUGCUCAAGCUAAGCAACUUCUCUGAGUUAGUUGUUAAUAAUCUACAAAUGACAGUUAAUUGACAACUGCUGGCAGCUCUCUGGCAAAAGGAUAUUAUUUAGGAUGAGAACCAAAGAUGAGAAAUCCCAAAGCUUAAAGGAAAUGGUUUCUUUGAAAGUCCUGUGUAUUCAGCUAACGUGUGGAAGGACACACCCUCUUGUUCCUGCCAUGCUCUUGCUGGCUGACCUCUGUAUUUAGA